CUACGGGGGGCUGCAGUGGGGAAUAUUGCACAAUGGACGAAAGUCUGAUGCAGCAACGCCGCGUGGAGGAUGACACAUUUCGGUGCGUAAACUCCUUUUAUAUAGGAAGAUAAUGACGGUACUAUAUGAAUAAGCGCCGGCUAACUCCGUGCCAGCAGCCGCGGUAAUACGGAGGGCGCAAGCGUUACUCGGAAUCACUGGGCGUAAAGAGCGUGUAGGCGGAUAGAUAAGUCAGGAGUGAAAUCCUAUGGCUCAACCAUAGAACUGCUCUUGAAACUGUCUAUCUAGAAUAUGGGAGAGGUAGAUGGGAUUUCUGGUGUAGGGGUAAAAUCCGUAGAGAUCAGAAGGAAUACCGAUUGCGAAGGCGAUCUACUGGAACAUUAUUGACGCUGAGACGCGAAAGCGUGGGGAGCAAACAGGAUUAGAUACCCCUGUAGUC
rnacentral:rRNA from 1 species